rnacentral:snRNA from 1 species
AUAUGUUCCAUAUAUUCCAAUUGGAAUGACAGAAAGAGGAAUAGCAUGACCCCUUCCCAAGAAUGACAUGCAAAGUGACAGAAAAUUCCAUAUUUUA